rnacentral:rRNA from 1 species
GCCUACGACCAUACCACGGUGAAUAUACGGCAUCCCGUCCGAUCUGCCAAGUCAAGCACCGUUGGGU